rnacentral:lncRNA from 1 species
AAUAGUGAAGAGGAAGAGGAAGAAAGGAAGAAGAAGAAGAAGAAGAAGGAGAAGGAGAAGGAGAAGGAGAAGGAGAAGGAGAGGAAGAGGAAGAGGAAGAGGAACAAGAAGAAGAAGAAGAGAAGGAGGAGGAAGAAGGGAGAAAGGAGGAAGGAGGAAGGAGGAAGGAAGAAGGAAGAAGGAAGAAAGAAGAAGAAAAGAACUACUCCCUUACCGCACUUUUGGAGGAGGAAACAGAUUUAAUAAGACUUGUAUUUUGGAAGAUCAUUCUGGCAGAAUGUGAGUUUGUGAAAUGUAAGACUAGAGGCAAGAAGACCAGUUCAGAAACGUGGGACUGUCAUAAACAACUUCUGCAAAGACUUUCCAGCUCUUGCCAUCUCUUUUUCCUUUGAUAUCUGCCUCUAAUACAUAGAAGUCAUCCUCCAGAGCUGUGUCCCCAUCACACGACUCAACCUUCCUCACCUUCUUAAUCUGUGUUGCUUCCCCACAAGAUUUCCCCAGAAAUUUGGAAUUUUGAUCCAAGAGAUGCAGAGGCUGAGCAUUGUUAGAACCAACUCAUAUUCAUAGCAGACUCUCCAGAGAAGGUCCAAAGCAACCUGCUUGCUGCUGAGGUCCACCAAGCCACUCUGAAGCCUGCCUUUCCGCAACAAUUGCUCCGUUUCUCCUUUCAUUCCAUGCAUGUAUACAUUCAAUUAAUCUUUUUCCAUUCCCUUCUGAAGCGACAAGUUGCAACCAAUAGAACCCUAAUACAUGUAACAACGCCAGAGUUAUUGGGAGACAUAGUCAAAACAUUAAUCAAAUUCAUGUAAUAGGUUUAAGGACAACAAGGUGCACAUUUAGGAACAUGUAGGGUGGUGAAGAAGGACUUUGGAGUGACUUCCACGUUUCUGACUUCAGUGACUGGGUUGAUGUUGCUGCAAUUUAAAGAUAGGGCAUAUGGGGAAAAGAAGGAGUGAUUGGAGAGGGAAAUACUGGACUCAAAAGUACCUAAAGGACAUUUAAAUGGAGAUAUACAGUUGGAAGUUAGAUAUGUGCUUCUGGAAUUCAAGAGAGUAGUCUAGGCUGGCAAUAUAUAUUUGAGAAUUUUCAGCAUUUAGAUUGUCAUUACAACCGUGGGGUUAAAUGAGAUUGCCUAGAGUAUUAAGUUAAAAAAGAAGGAUCCAAGAAUGAAAUCCUAGAUUUAAUACCAAAGUAUAAGAAGCAGGUAGAAGAAAAGAAACUCUCAAAGGAGGUUUAGAAGGAAUGGCCAGGGCAAGAGAAGCAGAACCAGAAGUGCCAAAUGAAAGGAGAAUCUGGAAAAGGACAUGACGUCUAAAUCAGUUCAGCAUCAUUUCCAGUGUCGUUUUCAUCUACAGCUGAGGGUGCAGUCACCCUAU